UACGUAGGUGGCAAGCGUUGUCCGGAUUUACUGGGCGUAAAGGGCGCGUAGGCGGCGUGACAAGUCACUUGUGAAAUCUCCGGGCUUAACUCGGAACGGUCAAGUGAUACUGUCGUGCUAGAGUACAGAAGGGGCAACUGGAAUUCUCGGUGUAGCGGUGAAAUGCGUAGAUAUCGAGAGGAACACCUGCGGCGAAGGCGGGUUGCUGGGCUGAUACUGACGCUGAGGCGCGAAAGCUAGGGGAGCGAACGGG
rnacentral:rRNA from 1 species